AUUGAACGCUGGCGGCAUGCCUUACACAUGCAAGUCGAACGGCAGCACGGGGGCAACCCUGGUGGCGAGUGGCGAACGGGUGAGUAAUGCAUCGGAACGUGCCCAGUAGUGGGGGAUAACCAGUCGAAAGACUGGCUAAUACCGCAUACGACCCAAGGGUGAAAGCGGGGGACCGUAAGGCCUCGCGCUAUUGGAGCGGCCGAUGUCUGAUUAGCUAGUUGGCGGGGUAAGAGCCCACCAAGGCGACGAUCAGUAGGUGGUCUGAGAGGACGACCAGCCACACUGGGACUGAGACACGGCCCAGACUCCUACGGGAGGCAGCAGUGGGGAAUUUUGGACAAUGGGCGCAAGCCUGAUCCAGCCAUGCCGCGUGCGGGAAGAAGGCCUUCGGGUUGUAAACCGCUUUUGGCAGGAACGAAACGGCGCAAGCCAAUACCUUGCGCUAAUGACGGUACCUGCAGAAUAAGCACCGGCUAACUACGUGCCAGCAGCCGCAGUAAUAC
rnacentral:rRNA from 1 species